rnacentral:rRNA from 1 species
AUUGAACGCUGGCGGCAGGCCUAACACAUGCAAGUCGAACGAGUGGCGGACGGGUGAGUCAUGUCUGGGAAACUGUCUGAUGGCGGGGGAUAACUAAUGGAAACGGUAGCUAAUACCGCAUACCAUCAGAUGUGCCCAGAUGGGAUUAGCUUGUUGGUGGGGAAACGGCUCACCAAGGCGACGAUCCCUAGCUGUUCUGAGAGGAUGACCAGCCAAACUGGAACUGAGACACGGUCCAGAUGCCUACGGGAGGCAGCGUUGGGGAAGAUUGCACAAUGGGGGCAAGCCUGAUGCAGCCAUGCCGCGUGUAUGAAGAAGGCCUUCGGGUUGUAAAGUACUUUCAGCGGGGAGGCGUUACCCGCAGAAGAAGCACCGGCUAACUCCGUGCCAGCAGCCGCGGUAAUAC